rnacentral:rRNA from 1 species
AGAAUCAACGCUGGCGGCGUGCCUAACACAUGCAAGUCGAACGAGAAAGUGGAGCAAUCCAUGAGUACAGUGGCGGCACGGGUGAGUAACACGUGACUAACCUACCCUUGAGUGGGGAAUAACCUGGAGAAAUCUAGGCUAAUACCGCAUAACACCUACGGGUCAAAGGAGCAAUUCGCUUAAGGAGGGGGUCGCGGCAGAUUAGCUAGUUGGCGGGUAAUGGCCCACCAAGGCAGUGAUCUGUA